GUACACAAAAAUGCACAUGCUGUGAGCUCGAUGAGUAGGGCGGGACACGUGGUAUCCUGUCUGAAUAUGGGGGGACCAUCCUCCAAGGCUAAAUACUCCUGACUGACCGAUAGUGAACCAGUACCGUGAGGGAAAGGCGAAAAGAACCCCGGCGAGGGGAGUGAAAAAGAACCUGAAACCGUGUACGUACAAGCAGUGGGAGCACGCUUAGGCGUGUGACUGCGUACCUUUUGUAUAAUGGGUCAGCGACUUAUAUUCUGUAGCAAGGUUAACCGAAUAGGGGAGCCGAAGGGAAACCGAGUCUUAACUGGGCGUUAAGUUGCAGGGUAUAGACCCGAAACCCGGUGAUCUAGCCAUGGGCAGGUUGAAGGUUGGGUAACACUAACUGGAGGACCGAACCGACUAAUGUUGAAAAAUUAGCGGAUGACUUGUGGCUGGGGGUGAAAGGCCAAUCAAACCGGGAGAUAGCUGGUUCUCCCCGAAAGCUAUUUAGGUAGCGCCUCGUGAAUUCAUCUCCGGGGGUAGAGCACUGUUUCGGCAAGGGGGUCAUCCCGACUUACCAACCCGAUGCAAACUGCGAAUACCGGAGAAUGUUAUCACGGGAGACACACGGCGGGUGCUAACGUCCGUCGUGAAGAGGGAAACAACCCAGACCGCCAGCUAAGGUCCCAAAGUCAUGGUUAAGUGGGAAACGAUGUGGGAAGGCCCAGACAGCCAGGAUGUUGGCUUAGAAGCAGCCAUCAUUUAAAGAAAGCGUAAUAGCUCACUGGUCGAGUCGGCCUGCGCGGAAGAUGUAACGGGGCUAAACCAUG
rnacentral:rRNA from 1 species